rnacentral:rRNA from 1 species
CCUACGGGGCGCACCAGUGGGGAAUAUUGCACAAUGGGCGCAAGCCUGUUGCAGCCAUGCCGCGUGUAUGAAGAAGGCCUUCGGGUUGUAAAGCACUUUCAGCGGGGAGGAAGGCGCUAAGGUUAAUAACCUUAGCGAUUGACGUUACCCGCAGAGGAAGCACCGGCUAACUCCGUGCCAGCAGCCGCGGUAAUACGGAGGGUGCAAGCGUUAAUCGGAAUUACUGGGCGUAAAGCGCACGCAGGCGGUCUGUCAAGUCGGAUGUGAAAUCCCCGGGCUCAACCUGGGAACUGCAUUCGAAACUGGCAGGCUAGAGUCUUGUAGAGGGGGGUAGAAUUCCAGGUGUAGCGGUGAAAUGCGUAGAGAUCUGGAGGAAUACCGGUGGCGAAGGCGGCCCCCUGGACAAAGACUGACGCUCAGGUGCGAAAGCGUGGGGAGCAAACAGGAUUAGAUACCCGCGUAGUC